rnacentral:rRNA from 1 species
UACAGAGGGUGCAAGCGUUGUUCGGAAUUAUUGGGCGUAAAGCGCGUGUAGGCGGCUUAGCAAGUCGGGCGUGAAAGCCCUCGGCUCAACCGAGGAAGUGCACCCGAAACUGCUGAGCUUGAGUGCCGGAGAGGAUGGCGGAAUUCCCCAAGUAGAGGUGAAAUUCGUAGAUAUGGGGAGGAACACCGGUGGCGAGGACGGCCGACUCUGGACGGUAACUGACGCUGAGACGCGAAAGCGUGGGGAGCAAACAGG